rnacentral:rRNA from 1 species
AUUGAACGCUGGCGGCAGGCGUAACACAUGCAAGUCGAACGAGUGGCGGACGGGUGAUUAAUGGCGGUGAAACGGCCUGAUGGAGGGGGAUAACUACUUGAAACGGUCGCUAAUACCGCAUACCAUCGGAUGUGCGCACAUUGGAUUCGCUCGUAGGUGAGGUAAAGGCGACCCUAGGCGACGAUCCCUAGCUGGGAUGAGAGGAUGACGAGCCAGACUGGAACUGAGACACGGUCCAUACUCAUACGGAAGGCAGCAGUGGAGAAUAUUGCACAGUGGGCGGAAGCCUGAGGCAGCCAUGACGCGUGUAUGAAGAAGGCCUUCAGGUUGUAAAGUACUUUCAGCGGGGAGGCGUUGCCCGCCGAAGAAGCACCGGCUAACUCCGUGCCAGCAGCCGCGGUAAUAC